GACGAACGCUGGCGGCGUGCCUAAUACAUGCAAGUAGAACGCUGAAGAGAGGAGCUUGCUCUUCUUGGAUGAGUUGCGAACGGGUGAGUAACGCGUAGGUAACCUGCCUUGUAGCGGGGGAUAACUAUUGGAAACGAUAGCUAAUACCGCAUAACAAUGGAUGACACAUGUCAUUUAUUUGAAAGGGGCAAUUGCUCCACUACAAGAUGUACCUGCGUUGUAUUAGCUAGUAGGUGAGGUAAUGGCUCACCUAGGCGACGAUACAUAGCCGACCUGAGAGGGUGAUCGGACACACUGGGACUGAGACACGGCCCAGACUCCUACGGGAGGCAGCAGUAGGGAAUCUUCGGCAAUGGGGGCAACCCUGACCGAGCAACGCCGCGUGAGUGAAGAAGGUUUUCGGAUCGUAAAGCUCUGUUGUAAGUCAAGAACGGGUGUGAGAGUGGAAAGUUCACACUGUGACGGUAGCUUACCAGAAAGGGACGGCUAACUACGUG
rnacentral:rRNA from 1 species